rnacentral:rRNA from 1 species
AUUGAACGCUGGCGGCAGGCCUAACACAUGCAAGUCGAGCGAGCGGCGGACGGGUGAGUAAUGUCUGGGAAACUGCCUGAUGGAGGGGGAUAACUACUGGAAAAGGUAGCUAAUACCGCAUAACAUCAGAUGUGCGCAGAUGGAAUUAGCUAGUAGGUGGGGUAACGGCCAACCUAGGCGACGAUCCCUAGCUGGUCUGAGAGGAUGACCAGCCACACUGGAAAUGAGACACGGUCCAGACUCCUACGGGAGGCAGCAGUGGGGAAUAUUGCACAAUGGGCGAAAGCCUGAUGCAGCAAUGCCGCGUGAGUGAAGAAGGCCUUCGGGUUGUAAAGCACUUUCAGCGGGGAGGCGUUACCCGCAGAAGAAGCACCGGCUAACUACGUGCCAGCCGCCGCGGUAAUAC